rnacentral:rRNA from 1 species
ACGGAAGGCAGCAGUGGGGAAUAUUGGACAAUGGGGGAAACCCUGAUCCAGCGACGCCGCGUGAGUGAAGAAGUAUUUCGGUAUGUAAAGCUCUAUCAGCAAGGAAGAAAAUGACGGUACUUGAAUAAGAAGCUCCGGCUAAAUACGUGCCAGCAGCCGCGGUAAUACGUAUGGAGCAAGCGUUAUCCGGAUUUACUGGGUGUAAAGGGAGCGUAGACGGUAAAGCAAGUCUGAAGUGAAAUCCCGGGGCUCAACCCCGGAACUGCUUUGGAAACUGUUUAACUAGAGUGCAGGAGAGGUAAGCGGAAUUCCUAGUGUAGCGGUGAAAUGCGUAGAUAUUAGGAGGAACACCAGUGGCGAAGGCGGCUUACUGGACUGUAACUGACGUUGAGGCUCGAAAGCGUGGGGAGCAAACAGGAUUAGAUACCCUGGUA